CUCAGAACAGGACGGAGACAAAAGGUUCUCCAAGGAAAGUUCCAGCAGAGGGAGGAGGCCACAUCAUCUCAGAAUCAUCCUAGGAGGUAUAGAACCUUUGCAGAUGUGGGGACCUGAUUAAGAAGCUGAACUCCGGGGCUGGUGAGAUGGCUCAGAGGUUAAGAGCGCUGGCUGUUCCUCCAGAGGUCCUGAGUUCAAUUCCCAGCAAUCACAUGGUGGCU
rnacentral:lncRNA from 1 species